rnacentral:tRNA from 1 species
GGGCCGGUAGCUCAGUGGUAGAGCACUGCUUUCGCAUAGCAGGGGUCGUGGGUUCGACUCCCAUCCGGUCCACCA